rnacentral:rRNA from 1 species
AUUGAACGCUGGCGGCAGGCCUAACACAUGCAAGUCGAGCGGAUGAAGGGAGCUUGCUCCUGGAUUCAGCGGCGGACGGGUGAGUAAUCCCUAGGAAUCUGCCUGCUAGUGGGGGAUAACGUCCGGAAACGGGCGCUAAUACCGCAUACGAUCUGAGGGUGAAAGAGGGGGAUCUUCGGACCUCACGCUACCAGAUGAACCUAGGUCGGAUUAGCUAGUGGGUGGGGUAAAGGCCUACCAAGGCAACGAUCCGUAACUGGUCUGAGAGGAUGAUCAGUCACACUGGAACUGAGACACGGUCCAGACUCCUACGGGAGGCAGCAGUGGGGAAUAUUCGACAAUGGGCGAAAGCCUGAUCCAGACAUGCCGGGUGUGUGAGGAAGGUCUUCGGAUUGUAAAGCACUUUGAGUUGGGAGGAAGGGCAGUAAGUUAAUACCUUGCUGUUUUGACGGUACCAACAAAGUAAGCACCGGCUAACUUCGUG